rnacentral:lncRNA from 1 species
GUCGCGCCGGGGCCGCCGGGGCCACGGGGCUGCCUCCUCCGCCUAGAGCGCUGCCGCCGCCGCUUUCGCCCGGGAGCCGGGGGCCGGGCGCCAUCAUGCUGAGCCGGCUCGGGGCGCUGCUGCAGGAAGCCGUGGGGGCGGUGAGGCCGGCAGGGCCGGGCCGGGCCGCCGGGAGUCGCGGGCCUAGGCCGGGCUGGGCGGGCGCGGAGCCGGGCGCGGCCCGCAGGAGGGCGGGCGGGCGCGGGCCCCCUCGGGCAGGGACCCCCGGGCCGCGGCGCCCCUUCCUCUGCCUCCCCGGCCGCGCCCCGCUUCCCCUCGCUCUUCCCAGUCCCGCUCCCAGACUCCUCCCGACCGCCCCACCUCCCCGGCCUGCUCCCGCGUCGCUUCCUGUCUGUGCGUCCUGGCCCCGGAGUCUCUCCCAAUUCCCGAACUCGCCUCCGCCGGGACGCUCCCUGUCACCGCUUGGGGUGUUUCCUGCCCCCCGGGGCCCUAGGCCGCCUCCCCCCAGUCCCGGUGGGCCUGCCUCCUUCCUCCGCUCCACCCCACCGCCUCGCCUGGGCUUGAAAAAAUCGCCGUCCCUUCCCCUCGGUCUGAUCUCCCAGACAACUCCAGGACCUUGUUGGGGUGCAGGACGCCCUUCCCGUCACCCCGGGACGUGGGAAGUGCAGGCCCUGCCGGUCCAAGUCCCCACGAAGGCGCGAGCCCAGCAUUGACCUGCUGCAGGCCUUCGUGGAGCACUGGAAGGGCAUCACGCACUACUACAUCGAGAGCACAGGUGCGGCCUGGCCCUCCCCAGCCCAGGGACCCUGGAGGGAGCGGGGAGGAAGGAGUGUGCAGAGUGUCACCAUUCAGGUGUCCUGGGAAAGGUAACCUGCCCAGUCGUUCAGAAUUGGAGCCGAGUUCACGGAGACAGAGAACCAGACAGACAGAAGACCCAGAGCCCUGGGCCACUCCACUCCUGAUGAUUUAGCUGCCGGUCCCACUCUGACCUUUUGGAAAGAGGCUGUGUGAGGAAGGAGUAGCCUGGUUGGGGGUCUCACUGGCCUGACUCUGCAAGGAAGAGGUGGCUGCACUUCCCCCAGCUUCCAGCUCCAGACCUUCAGGCCCCAGGUGCUUGUGCCUAGGAUUUAAUGAUC